rnacentral:rRNA from 1 species
UGCGUAGGCGGCGGCAUAAGUCAGAAGUGAAAGUUGGCAGCUUAACUGCAAAAUUGCUUUUGAUACUGUGUUGCUUGAAUCACGUUGAGGCUGGCGGAAUGUGGCAUGUAGCGGUGAAAUGCUUAGAUAUGCCAUAGAACACCAAUUGCGAAGGCAGAUGGCUAGACGUGUAUUGACGCUGAGGCACGAAAGCGUGGGGAGCGAACAGGAUUAGAUACCCUGGUAGUCC